UACGGGGGAGCAAGCGUUGUUCGGAUUACUGGCGUAAAGGGCGCGUAGGCGGUCAGCACAAGUCAGUUGUGAAAUCUCCGGGCUUAACUCGGAAAGGUCAACUGAUACUGUGCGACUAGAGUGCAGAAGGGGCAACUGGAAUUCUCGGUGUAGCGGUGAAAUGCGUAGAUAUCGAGAGGAACACCUGCGGCGAAGGCGGGUGCUGGGCUGACACUGACGCUGAUGCGCGAAAGCCAGGGAGCGAACGGG
rnacentral:rRNA from 1 species